GACAGAGGUGCCAAGCGUUAGGCGGAAUCACUGGGCUUAAAGCGUGUGUAGGCGGACUUGUAAGUACCUUGUGAAAUCCCACGGCUCAACCGUGGAACUGCUUGGUAUACUGCUUGUCUUGAGCCACUUAGGGGCUACCGGAACAAAUGGUGGAGCGGUGAAAUGCGUAGAUAUCAUUUGGAACGCCAAUGGUGAAAACAGGUAGCUGGGAGUGUGCUGACGCUGAGGUGCGAAAGCGUGGGGAGCAAACAGG
rnacentral:rRNA from 1 species